rnacentral:rRNA from 1 species
CGCGCUGGACCGUGCACAAGUCUCCUGGAAUGGAGCGUCAUAGAGGGUGAGAAUCCCGUCUUUGGCAUGGAAUCCCAGGGCUUCUGUGAUGCGCUCUCGACGAGUCGAGUUGUUUGGGAAUGCAGCUCARAAUGGGUGGUGAACUCCAUCUAAAGCUAAAUAUUGGCAAGAGACCGAUAGCGAACAAGUACCGUGAGGGAAAGAUGAAAAGCACUUUGGAAAGAGAGUGAAACAGUACGUGAAAUUGUUGAAAGGGAAACGCUUGAAGUCAGUCGCGUUGACCGAGACUCASCCUUGCCUUGGCUUGGUGUACUUCUCGGUUGACGGGUCAGCAUCAAUUUCGAUCCCCGGAUAAUGGCRAGGGAAAGGUGGCACCUUUUUAGGUGUGUUAUAGUCCUCUGUCGCAUACGGGGGUUGGGAUUGAGGAACUCAGCACGCGCCUCUUGGUGUCGGGGCUUUGGCCCACGUUACGUGCUUAGGAUGUUGGCGUAAUGGCUUUAAACGACCCGUCUUGAAACACGGACCAAGGAGUCUAACAUGCCCGCGAGUGUUCGGGUGGAAAACCCGUGCGCGUAAUGAAAGUAAAAGUUGGGACCUCUGUCGUGGAGGGCACCGACGCCCGGACCAGACCUUCUGUGACGGCUCUGCGGUAGAGCGUGUAUGUUGGGGACCCGAAAGAUGGUGAACUAUGCCUGAAUAGGGUGAAGCCAGAGGAA